rnacentral:rRNA from 1 species
CAGUCGCCGCGGUAAUACGUAGGUCCCGAGCGUUGUCCGGAUUUAUUGGGCGUAAAGGGAGCGCAGGCGGUUUAGUAAGUCUGAAGUUAAAGGCAUUGGCUCAACCAAUGUAUGCUUUGGAAACUGUUAGACUUGAGUGCAGAAGGGGAGAGUGGAAUUCCAUGUGUAGCGGUGAAAUGCGUAGAUAUAUGGAGGAACACCGGUGGCGAAAGCGGCUCUCUGGUCUGUCACUGACGCUGAGGCUCGAAAGCGUGGGUAGCGAACAGGAUUAGAUACCCCAGUAGUCCCUGUCUCUUAUACA